rnacentral:tRNA from 1 species
GCUUUCGUGGCGUAAUGGUCAGCACACUCGACUCGGCGCGUAUUCGAAACGUCCGUGGUUCGAGUCCCGGCGAGGGCA